GACGAACGCUGGCGGCGUGCUUAACACAUGCAAGUCGAACGGUAAGGCCCUUCGGGGUACACGAGUGGCGAACGGGUGAGUAACACGUGGGUGAUCUGCCCUGCACUUUGGGAUAAGCCUGGGAAACUGGGUCUAAUACCGGAUAGGACCACGGCCCACCUGGGUUGUGGUGGAAAGCUUUUGCGGUGUGGGAUGGGCCUGCGGCCUAUCGGGUUGUUGGUGGGGUGAUGGCCUACCGAGGCGAGGACGGGUCGCCGGCCUGAGAGGGUGUCGGGCCACACUGGGACUGAGAUACGGCCCAGACUCCUACGGGAGGCAGCAGUGGGAAUAUUGCGCAAUGGGCGCAAGCCUGAUGCAGCGACGCCGCGUGGGGGAUGACGGCCUUCGGGUUGUAAACCUCUUUCACCAGGGACGAAGCGCAAGUGACGGUACCUGGAGAAGAAGCGCCGGCCAACUACGUGCCAGCCGCCGCCGUAA
rnacentral:rRNA from 1 species